GACGAACGCUGGCGGCAUGCCUAAUACAUGCAAGUCGAGCGGACUUGAUGAGAAGCUUGCUUCUCAGAUAGUUAGCGGCGGACGGGUGAGUAACACGUAGGCAACCUGCCCUCAAGCUUGGGACAACUACCGGAAACGGUAGCUAAUACCGAGUACUUGUUUUCUUCGCCCGAAGGAAACUGGAAAGACGGAGUAAUCUGUCACUUGGGGAUGGGCCUGCGGCGCAUUAGCUAGUUGGUGAGGUAACGGCUCACCAAGGCGACGAUGCGUAGCCGACCUGAGAGGGUGAUCGGCCACACUGGGACUGAGACACGGCCCAGACUCCUACGGGAGGCAGCAGUAGGGAAUCUUCCGCAAUGGGCGAAAGCCUGACGGAGCAAUGCCGCAUGAGUGAUGAAGGUUUUCGGAUCGUAAAGCUCUGUUGCCAGGGAAGAACGCUUGGGAGAGUAACUGCUCCCAAGGUGACGGUACCUGAGAAGAAAGCCCCGGCUAACUACGUGCCAGCAGCCGCCGUAA
rnacentral:rRNA from 1 species